CAGUCACGUUGGCUAGGAAUCAGCCUCGCUUUUGCGUGGUGUACUUUCUAGUUGACGGGUCAGCAUCAAUUUUGACUGCUGGAAAAAGGCUUGGGGAAUGUGGCAGCUCCGGCUGUGUUAUAGCCUUUGGUAGAUGUGACGAUUGGGAUUGAGGAUUGCAACGGAUACCCCUCGGGGUUACCCGUCUGAUCUCUGAAGGUUGCUCCGGUGCCGAAAGCGUGCUUACGGUCAUCGAAAGUGAUUUUCAAAAGGUUAGAGCGGGUUAAAUUCGUUAAGGAUGUUGACGUAAU
rnacentral:rRNA from 1 species